rnacentral:lncRNA from 1 species
GAGAAUUGAUUGUGGAAAUGUUAUGCUCCCUUGAUUCCUUCACCACUUUGAGGCUCUAAACUGGUUGUUCAUGUCCAAAUUAUCAUGGUAUUCUCUCUUUGGGCACAGGUUGUUUCUAUAAAAUGUAGCUCACACCACAUUGGUAUACAUAGAGACCUGACAGCGCAACCAAAAUAUAACGGGUAGACAUUGGUUACAACUGUCAGUUCUUAUUAUAUGAAAUCUGCAGAAUGAAAGAGGAUCUCAAUAGAAGACUUCAAGAAUAGUACAUUGUGUUGUAUCAUGUCAAUUGUUAAUUCAUGACUUGAACAAUUGAAUAUUUGCUUCAAAGUUGAGAUUUUCUGAUCUCAAAGAAUGAUCUCCUGACAAUGAGAGGCCAGGAGCAAACAGGUUCUACACCCUGUAUAGAUGUAAGGAAAUUUUCAGAUUUUUAUAUAUCAGAGAGAAACUGUUAGUAAAAAUUGAUGGAGCGAAUGAGACCAAACCCGAGAUCAGAGAGGGGGAUGUCAUGAAGCUGGUGAUCGCAAAGCCCGGAUUUUAAUUAAGAACUACCCAAAAGAAAGAAGGGUCACUUUCUAGAGGCUCUAUAAUUUGCCCUGUUUUUUUUGUGUCUCCUCUCUGGCUUCCCAUAUUUAUAGGAAGAAGAUGGGCCAAUGUUCAUCUUUCUCCAACGGGUCUCUGAGAAAAGGCCUUCCCUGAUCUCAGGGAUACUCAUCUAUUUCAUCCAUAUGAACAUUGGAAAAAUGGCUUUAUAAAAUAAAUAAUUAUUGCACUUUUAUGAAUGAAUAAGUAUAAUGAAACAUGGGAUAAAGCCCACAAUUGUAGGCAAGGCGCCUCAUGGCCACAUGUGUCAGCAUCUCCCACUGGGCUAUGACGAUCAAGCAUAAUAAUAAAUCACAGGCAUUGUCACGCCCCAAGAAUUUACAAUACUGAUAUUCCUGAGAUGUGACAGUCAAAACCUAUAUACAUCUCUUGAUAGGACAAAUUUA